rnacentral:rRNA from 1 species
AGCAAACGCUGGCGGCAGGCUUAACACAUGCAAGUCGAGCGGGCAUCCUUGUGGUGUCAGCGGCAGACGGGUGAGUAACGCGUGGGAACGUGCCCUUCGGUUCGGAAUAACUCAGGGAAACUUGAGCUAAUACCGGAUACGUGCGAGAGCAGAAAGGUUUAUCUGCCGAAGGAUCGGCCCGCGUCUGAUUAGCUAGUUGGUGAGGUUACGGCUCACCAAGGCGACGAUCAGUAGCUGGUCUGAGAGGAUGAUCAGCCACACUGGGACUGAGACACGGCCCAGACUCCUACGGGAGGCAGCAGUGGGGAAUAUUGGACAAUGGGGGCAACCCUGAUCCAGCCAUGCCGCGUGAGUGAUGACGGCCUUAGGGUUGUAAAGCUCUUUUCUCCGGGACGAUAAUGACGGUACCGGAGGAAUAAGCCCCGGCUAACUUCGUG